UGCGCAGGCGGGCUUGUAAGUCAGUGGUGAAAUACUGCCGCUUAACGGUAGAACUGCCAUUGAUACUGCAAGUCUUGAAUAUGGUUGAGGUAGGCGGAAUGUGUCGUGUAGCGGUGAAAUGCAUAGAUAUGACACAGAACGCCGAUUGCGAAGGCAGCUUACUAAGCCAUUAUUGACGCUGAGGCGCGAAAGCGUGGGGAGCGAACAGGAUUAGAUACCCUGGUAGUCC
rnacentral:rRNA from 1 species